rnacentral:rRNA from 1 species
GUUUGAUCCUGGCUCAGAUUAAACGCUGGCGGCAUGCCUUACACAUGCAAGUCGAACGGCAGCACGGGGGCAACCCUGGUGGCGAGUGGCGGACGGGUGAGUAAAGCAUCGGAACGUAUCCUGGAGUGGGGGAUAACGUAGCGAAAGUUACGCUAAUACCGCAUAUUCUGUGAGCAGGAAAGCAGGGGAUCGCAAGACCUUGCGCUCUGGGAGCGGCCGAUGUCGGAUUAGCUAGUUGGUGGGGUAAAGGCCUACCAAGGCGACGAUCCGUAGCGGGUCUGAGAGGAUGAUCCGCCACACUGGGACUGAGACACGGCCCAGACUCCUACGGGAGGCAGCAGUGGGGAAUUUUGGACAAUGGGCGCAAGCCUGAUCCAGCCAAUGCCGCGUGAGUGAAGAAGGCUCGGUGUAGUACGUCUUACGUCGGGACGG